UACGGAGGAUGCAAGCGUUAUCCGGAAUGAUUGGGCGUAAAGCGUCCGCAGGUGGCAAUGUAAGUCUGCUGUCAAAGCGUCUGGCUCAACCAGAUAAAGGCAGUGGAAACUACAUAGCUAGAGUAAGGUAGGGGUAGAGGGAAUUCCUGGUGUAGCGGUGAAAUGCGCAGAUAUCAGGAGGAACACCAAUUGCGAAGGCAGCUCGCUGGGACGUAACUGACGCUGAGACGCGAAAGCGUGGGGAGCAAACAGG
rnacentral:rRNA from 1 species